UGGGGAAUAUUGCACAAUGGGCGAAAGCCUGAUGCAGCGACGCCGCGUGAGGGAUGACGGCCUUCGGGUUGUAAACCUCUUUCAGCGGGGACGAAGGGCAACUGACGGUACCCGCAGAAGAAGCACCGGCUAACUACGUGCCAGCAGCCGCGGUAAUACGUAGGGUGCGAGCGUUGUCCGGAAUUAUUGGGCGUAAAGAGCUCGUAGGCGGUUUGUUGCGUCGGCUGUGAAAACUUCACGCUUAACGUGGAGCCUGCAGUCGAUACGGGCAGACUUGAGUUCGGCAGGGGAGACUGGAAUUCCUGGUGUAGCGGUGAAAUGCGCAGAUAUCAGGAGGAACACCGGUGGCGAAGGCGGGUCUCUGGGCCGAUACUGACGCUGAGGAGCGAAAGCGUGGGGAGCGAACAGG
rnacentral:rRNA from 1 species